rnacentral:hammerhead_ribozyme from 1 species
GUCUAGUUGACGAGUCCCAAAUAGGACAAAAUACGCUUCCUGGAU